rnacentral:rRNA from 1 species
AGCUUGCUCCCGGAUGUUAGCGGCGGACGGGUGAGUAACACGUGGGUAACCUGCCUGUAAGACUGGGAUAACUCCGGGAAACCGGAGCUAAUACCGGAUAGUUCCUUGAACCGCAUGGUUCAAGGAUGAAAGACGGUUUCGGCUGUCACUUACAGAUGGACCCGCGGCGCAUUAGCUAGUUGGUGAGGUAACGGCUCACCAAGGCGACGAUGCGUAGCCGACCUGAGAGGGUGAUCGGCCACACUGGGACUGAGACACGGCCCAGACUCCUACGGGAGGCAGCAGUAGGGAAUCUUCCGCAAUGGACGAAAGUCUGACGGAGCAACGCCGCGUGAGUGAUGAAGGUUUUCGGAUCGUAAAGCUCUGUUGUUAGGGAAGAACAAGUGCAAGAGUAACUGCUUGCACCUUGACGGUACCUAACCAGAAAGCCACGGCUAACUACGUGCCAGCAGCCGCGGUAAUACGUAGGUGGCAAGCGUUGUCCGGAAUUAUUGGGCGUAAAGGGCUCGCAGGCGGUUUCUUAAGUCUGAUGUGAAA